GGGCUUCAUAGAUCCGGUUGAUGACGACAUUUCCAAGCUCGCACAUAAGCUUCGGGAGGCCCAGGCAGAGGCAGAGACAGACAGUUCCGGCUCCCACGAGUCAAGGGUCAGAGACCGGACUUUGGAGAAAUGAACACCAAGGCUCCUGGGGGGCCAGAGGAAGAGUCAGGCCCUCUGUGGGGCAGUGGUCUGGAGAGGCUCAUGCUGAGGAGUUGGGCAAGGAGGCUGGGCAGCUGGGGCCAUGGAGCCUUUACCUGUUCUGGCCGGAUCCUGCCUGCUCACCGUUCCUUCUCCCUUUCUGUGUUUCAUUUGGAGGCCCUCAUCCUCUCUAGCCACCUCCCUUCUCUCAUGACACUUUGGCCUGGAUCACUCUUCCCAUGUCAUCCCUUUCCCUCUUUCCACCUGACUGACUGAGGGUGAGAGCCUUAUAGACUUACUAAGGCCCCACAGCCUCUCCUCUCUUUGGUCUUCAUUACCUGCCCCUGCCCUCCCAGCAGUCCUGACCCCACACUUCCUCCAAUCAAGCCAAUAAACUCUUCUGUGUCUCCCAA